CUAAUAAUAACGCCAACAAACACAAUAGGUGCCUUCGCACCUUCGGUGCUUGGCCCCUAAAUAUAGCUGCAAGCAGCAAUCACGGGGCCAAGCAUUCCAGCGGCAACAUCAGGAGCUAAGCAUAUGUAGCAUCAGACCAAAUGCAACAAUGAAUAAUGAAAUUAAUAAUUGCAUGAUUGUAAUUGAAAUGGCUGAAAAUUGUUAAUAAAAGUUCCACAGCGAGGAGCUAAGCAUGGCAUGGAGCAUCAGACCAAAUGCAACGAGUAAGAAAAGCAAUUAUUGGAAGAGUGUAAUUGAAACAGCCAGUAAAACUCCAGUAAAAUGAUGCAUUAUCAUUUUUGGAAAAUAGUUGGUGCUGUAAUCAAAUCGCUUUGUUGUGUUCUGUGGGAGGUGACAAUGUUGUGGGCAAUUUCUUUCAAAAUACUUACAGACCUUUAGGGCAAUGAGUCGAACAUGCCCACCGAGUUUCGUUCCGAUCGACUUCCAUUAACCUUGUCAAAUAGGUGCUUAAAGUUGUUUGGCCAAUGGCGGCCAUGUUUUUUAAGAUAAGUGAAAUUCCUCAUAGAGCACUUGUGCCACAUUGGGCCAUAUCAAUUUUCAAGUUGAUUGGAUCAACGGUUGCUUAGUUAUAGCCAUUUGAUUUUUUUUCAUCCUGUAGCGCCACCAAGUGGCAGAUAUGGAAAAAAAAUAAUAAUUUGACUAAAGUUUUUGUUCAUGCAAAUGAGUUCUGAGUUUGGUGAAGAUAUCUCAUUUUGUUCCCGAGUUAUAGCCUUUUUCGUAAAAUUGGUCCACGAAUUUGAAUGUUUUGGGUCACCUGGUUUUUUGUUCAGUCUUGAUCAAACCACUGCAAUAAUAUUCUCAGGACUCUCUAGAUCAAUAAUUUUCAAAAAUAUGUUGCAUUUUGUCCUUUGGUUAGCUAUAAGAGGUCAUUUAGGAAAGGGCCGUGGCCACAUGUAACCUAAAGCCUAUAAAACUGAAACAAAAACUCAAAACUUUAUGAAACUUGGUUAUAACAUGUGAAAGAUGACCCACCAAGCAUGCAAAGUUUCAUUAAGAUCAGAAAAUAGCUGGUGCUAUAACAGUUAAAAUGGCCUAAAAAACAAAAGAUUUCUGUUGUGAAUGGCAUUAAACUGCAAAAAAAAAGGGGUAAUAUAAUCACACAUGCAUUAGAUCUGUAUUUUUUCUAAACAAUCAUGCAAAAUUUAACAGAGAUUAGGUAAAAAAGAACACUGUAAUAUUUAUAAAGCUUCAAAACCCAGUGUUGAAUAAAAAAUUGCAAUUAUAACCACUAGAUGUCACCGGAAGACCACUAAUGAGCUCACUAAAGACUAAAACAUUACAGUUUAUGGGCUUGUUGAGGGAUUCAUCUAGAAAAAAUGUAUAUUACUAUUAUUUAAUAUUACUGUUCAAGCAUUUCAGAUCACAUUGAGUCAAAGUUUACCAAUUUAUUCAUACAGAUAUAUCUAAUGUUUAUAAUUAUGCCAGAUUAUGAUUGCAAUGAAACCUGAAAAAUGACAUAGAAGCCCAUAAAAACAGAAGACUUGCAAUAGGUUUUAUCACCCAUCUUUUAUUUUAAUUAUCUAUAUAUAUAACAAAAUGUGUGCAUCUGUGUGUGGGUUUAAGCAUGCUUAUUGAGUAUUAAUAUACUAGUUUAAACAUUUCAUGUUUGUGUGUGUCUGUAAUUCUGUUCUAUUCUUUUACUGUCAGCCAUAUCUAGGUUAUUUAAAAUCAGUGCAGUACUAUUAACUAGACUGUGAAAUUAUACAUAAAUUGCGUAUGCUUCUUUGGAAUGAAAUUAAGACAACAUAUAACAGUUAUAAAGGUUAAAGAGACAGUGUUGUAUGAUAAAUUGCAUUUACGACCACUAGAUGUCACUGGAAGACCACUAAUGGGCUUUGCAGAGAUAUAGCCUCAGACUCAUUUUGUGAAGAUGCCUGACAUCUGAAGCAGCGCUGUACAAAAACGGUUUCGUCUAUUGACACGAAAUCCAUAACUUUUUGUCAGCACGGUCUGAAGAUGAUCUGAUUCAAUUUUGGUGAAAAUCGGACAAACGGUUGAGGAUGAGUUUAAAAAAAAAGGUUUUCAACAUGAAUCAAAAUGGCGGACAGGAAGUUUUGCUUAAUAUGAC